rnacentral:rRNA from 1 species
GACGAACGCUGGCGGCGUGCUUAACACAUGCAAGUCGAGCGAGGCCCUCCUUCGGGGGGUGCCCUAGCGGCGAACGGGUGAGUAACACGUGGGCAACCUGCCCUCAGCUCUGGGAUAACUCCAAGAAAUUGGUGCUAAUACCGGAUGUGACCGCUGACCGCAUGGUCUGGUGGUGGAAAGAUUCAUCGGCUGAGGAUGGGCCCGCGGCCUAUCAGCUUGUUGGGGGGUAAUGGCCUACCAAGGCGACGACGGGUAGCCGGCCUGAGAGGGUGACCGGCCACACUGGGACUGAGACACGGCCCAGACUCCUACGGGAGGCAGCAGUGGGGAAUAUUGCGCAAUGGGCGAAAGCCUGACGCAGCGACGCCGCGUGAGGGAUGACGGCC